UCGGGAUUCCGCAACAGUAAAGCACAAACCAGCAUACUGUGCUGUAAAACCCUUCCAAUAUAUCUUGCAGUCGCUUUUUGGUCAGACCCAACGCGGUUUCUACGCAGCUUUUCAAAAAAUCGGUUCCAUCCUGAAUCAGUCACCGUUCAAGGGAAAGAAACGGACCCCUCAAUAGGUUUCCCCAUUUUCAAAAGAGCCGCGUGCGUGUGGGCCGCUGCCGGGGCCGAGCGGGUCUGGGAAUGGCACGCAGCGCCCAUUUUGUGUCCCGAGUCGGCCGUCCAGCUAAAGCAACGCCUGGAGAAGCCGGCUUCUGUGCGCCCAUGGCCUCAGCUUUAUCGGGCCGUUUGUUCGGUCCCUUCUUUUGUAAUUGAGGUUCUGUAACUUUAUUCAUUUUAAUGCACGGAUCCCUUAAAGCAGUGUUUUUUGUGCCUCUCCCACACCCCAAGGGUCAUGCCUAAGCCUGAAGAAAGUUUAGUCAUUCUAUUUUUUAGCAAAGAGAUCCUGUCAUCAUGGACAUAUAUGGUGCAAAGGACUUUUUUACAUUAUUUUCAAAGCAUGUGCAGCUCUACUAUCCACACCCUUAUAGAAAUCAGAAAUUAUUUGUAACAAUAAUUUUCUAAUUUGAUUAAAUGAGUGUGCUACAAAGAAUGCAAUGAUUUCUGA